rnacentral:rRNA from 1 species
AUUGAACGCUGGCGGCAGGCCUAACACAUGCAAGUCGAGCGAGCGGCGGACGGGUGCGUAAUGUUUGGGGAUCUGCCCGAUAGAGGGGGAUCACUACUGGAAACGGUGGCUAAUACCUCAUACUAUCGCAUGCACCCUUAUGGGAUUAGCUCGUAGGUGGGGUAAAGGCUCACCUAGCGACGAUCGCUAGCUGGUCUGAGAGGAUGACCGGCCACACUGGGACUGAGACACGGCCCAGACUCCUACGGGAGGCAGCAGUGGGGAAUAUUGCGCAAUGGGGGCAACCCUGACGGAGCCAUGCCGCGUGAAUGAAGAAGGCCUUCGGGUUGUAAAGCUCUUUCGGUAGCGAGGCGGUAAAUAAAGAAGAAGCACCGGCUAACUCCGUGCCAGCCGCCGCGGUAAUAC